UCAUAUUCAGACAGUUUUGGAAGCUGCAAGUACACAUGGCUUGCCUCUUGAAUGUACAUCAAAGGAGUUUUUUAUAUGCUGCUGUACUGUGUUCCUUUCACUGAUGUGUGCUAUAUGCUCCAAGCGCAUAAAUUACAGGUAUGUUCCACACCAAUUUCCAUGUGGUUUAUGGUUGUCCAUCUACUAUAUUUCCUGAAAUUUCCAUGCUUACAUAUUUAUAUUAGCUACUUAGCUCCAAAGAAGUCUGUACCACUAUUUGCCAUUAUCUCUGUUCAGUUAUUUCAUUUUGUAAUCUUAUCUUCUCGAUUGGCAAUGAUGUGUUGUUUGCAUCUGCUUGAAGCAGAUAUACUGCAUGCAUGCUUCAGCUUCACAUCAAUGUUGAUGUAGUAUGUUAUUGCUCAUCUAAUAUUUGGUAGCAUUCUUCAUUCAUUAAUAUUUCAUUUAUCUCAGUGAAGACUUUCAUUCUGUCCACCAUUAUUGCUGCUCAGUUUUUUUCUUUCCAACUAUAUAAACAGUGUUCUAAAAAUCGCCAUUAGGCGGCACCUCGGCGCCGUGAUUAGCCCCUCGGUGGCGAGUUCGGCGGCUGCCCUGCCGCGACGGUCAACAUCGGUCCACCUCGGCGCCUAGGCGGCCUAGGCACGGUGGCGACUAGUCGACGAGGCGGCCGACUGAGCUAGCUAUGCGGGCUGCUGUGGCGGGUAUAUAAGGUGGGUGCAUCCUGGCUGCUUGACUUAAUCCCAAAAUCAGAGUGCGUGAAGGGGCGGCUAGG
rnacentral:lncRNA from 1 species